rnacentral:lncRNA from 1 species
AUGCAGUUCACUGUAUGACGAACCCCUGGAUCACGUUGCCGUGUUCUCCACCCCGGCACCUGGUACACGACUUGCCUAUCUGGCAUAUAGUCAACGCUCCUUGAGUUUUGGUGGAUACGUGGUCAAUGAAAGUGUGAACAAGCAUUUGAAAAGGCUUAACAUAUAACAUAGAUGAUGCUGACUUUUGGGGACCUUUUAAACAGCACUGGGGUUCUCCAGUCAGCAGCACUGUGGCUCUUUCCUGGUUUGGCCGCUGUCUCUGGUCAGAAGAAAGACAGCCAGCCGGCUACACAUUUCACAUGCUCAGAAUGGUUGCUUUAUGGUUCAGAUCCCGGAGCCACCUGGGGGAAAGGCUGUGAGGAAUGGAGAAGGAUCUGCAUUGGAAAUGGCACGAGGGGCCCUGCAGACUGACCCCAUUCCUUCUGGAAUCCCUUCUCCUCUGCCUGGCUGGUGCCACCUGAGUGUGGAGCCGGGUGCGGAAAAGGAGAUGGAGAAAAGAAAAAUCCCUGCUGUCGGGUGGCUUAAGACUCGUGCAGGAAAAUCAGCGGAUCCGAGCGAGGCACAGAGGACGAGUGUGAGUCCAGGAACGCAGCAGUUGAUGCUGCAGGCCUCACAGCGCCUGGCCCGGGGCCGGCUGACUGCACGGUCCACCCGGCUGCACGGUCCACCCGGCUGCACGGUCCACCCGGCUGCACGGUCCACCCGGCUGCACGGUCCACCCAGCCAGGGCAGCUCAGAGUGGAGUCAUUGCAGGCCUCAUCCAACUCGAGACUCAGCGUCCCCUCGUCUUACUGUUCAUGGUGACGUUGGGAGUCACCAACCUUCUAUCGGA